UCCGGCUUGUCACCGGCAGUCUCCUUAGAGUUCCCAGCUUUACCUGUUGGCAACUAAGGACAAGGGUUGCGCUCGUUACGGGACUUAACCCAACAUCUCACGACACGAGCUGACGACAGCCAUGCAGCACCUGUGUUACGGCUCCCUUUCGGGCACAUCCACCUCUCGGCAGACUUCCGUACAUGUCAAGGGUAGGUAAGGUUUUUCGCGUUGCAUCGAAUUAAUCCACAUCAUCCACCGCUUGUGCGGGUCCCCGUCAAUUCCUUUGAGUUUUAAUCUUGCGACCGUACUCCCCAGGCGGUCAACUUUACGCGUUAGCUACGUUACCAAGUCAAUGAAGACCCGACAACUAGUUGACAUCGUUUAGGGCGUGGACUAC
rnacentral:misc_RNA from 1 species